GAUGAACGCUGGCGGCGUGCCUAAUACAUGCAAGUCGAGCGGACGGACGAGAAGCUUGCUUCUCUGAUGUUAGCGGCGGACGGGUGAGUAACACGUGGAUAACCUACCUAUAAGACUGGGAUAACUUCGGGAAACCGGAGCUAAUACCGGAUGAUAUUUUGAACCGCAUGGUUCAAAAGUGAAAGACGGUCUUGCUGUCACUUAUAGAUGGAUCCGCGCUGCAUUAGCUAGUUGGUAAGGUAACGGCUUACCAAGGCAACGAUGCAUAGCCGACCUGAGAGGGGGAUCGGCCACACGGGAACUAGAACACGGUCCAGACUCCUACGGGAGGAGGCAGUAGGGAAUCUUCGGCAAUGGGCGAAAGCCUGACGGAGCAACGCCGCGUGAGUGAGGAAGGUCUUCGGAUCGUAAAACUCUGUUAUUAGGGAAGAACAUAUGUGUAAGUAACUGUGCACAUCUUGACGGUACCUAAUCAGAAAGCCACGGCUAACUACGUG
rnacentral:rRNA from 1 species